ACAAAGCCCUAGAUGAUGACAAAUCACAUACGUUAGGGAAUAAACUAGAAACGCAUUGGAACAAUGAGACACAAAGAGCAAAAUUGAAUGGUAAUAAACCUAGUCUGAUGCGAGCUAUAAUGAAAACAUUUCUCUACGACUAUAUGAUGAUUGGAAUUGUGUUUGCUGUAGAUCUUAUUCUAUUCAGAACGACACAACCAAUUGUACUCUCCUAUUUGAUAUCACUAUUUACGUCUCCUGAUUCUUCUGAAAAGAUUACUGAAAUGUAUCUAUAUAGUGCACUUUUAGUAGGAAUCUCUUCGGUUUCAAUAUUUUUGUUACACCACGCCAAUUUUGGAUUCGCUCGCAUUGGGAUGAGAAUGCGAGUUUCAUUGUCUUCGUUAGUGUAUAG